rnacentral:lncRNA from 1 species
AUGUCACUUUCGGCCUGUGUGCUUAAGAUUCGGUCCUUCUCACUUUCCGAUUUGGUGAAUUUAUGUAUGAGAUUAGAUCUCUGCCACAAUUCUGCGAGCAAAAUAUCAUAUUUUGAGCAUGCAAAAGUGCAUUUUGUGGAGAAAAUGUUUGUCUCACAAAGAAGUAUUUUGAUGUGCACAAAAAUCAAUUUGCCAUUUAAAAUAAGUUUUUGGAUUUGUGCAGACCUUUUCUUUUGUGUGUGCAACGUUUCACUAGCUUGCUCACCUGAUGCUCGCCCUCAGUGCUCUCUAAAUCCCAACGGCUCCCUUGAUUAACACAACCCAGUUUAACAAAAUGCCAUAAUUCCAGCAAAUCAGAGACGAGGCUGCAAAAUUUUGAUAGGCAGCCUUGACAACCAAUCAUCACAUUCCUUGCAUUACCACAACAGCAGAAGAGGAAAAAUAUAGUGCAUGCAAAAUUAUUAUGCAAGAUGAUAUUGUGAUCAUAUUUUUCCAAACACAUUUUACCAAUUCCAAACUACAUCAAUCUUAAUAACUACUAUUAAUCUUGUAUUUAAUCAUUUAUAAUUGAUAUAUAAUUAUUCAUGAAGGCUGGAAGUGAAAAAUGUCUUAUAUUCAGGUGUUCAUAAUUAUUAAGCAGAUUUUCUUUUACAGAUAAAAUGAGCCAAAAAAAGAGAGAUUUAACUCAGACUGAAAGUCAAAAAUGAUACGGUUUGCAUUUCCACUGCAGUUUAGUAUCGCUUUAGAGUGGGCGGGAUUAUUCACAUGUCGUUAUAGUUCCGAGUCGCCUCAUCAAGCUUUCGCUGGAUCCGCUCCUCUGCUAUCAAUGAGAUGAAUGUCUGUACAUCCGCAACAGACAACGAAACUUUUUGGUUAUUAAAAAAGGUGUGCUCAUUUAAAACAGUUGCAUUUGAUCAUUCGUUGGCUGUGCUGAUUUAAAUCUAGAGGUUCUUUCGUGUUUGUGUCGCAAGUUCAGUUACACAGGUAGUGACGAUUCUCUCCGGCCAAUCUGUGAUCAGCAGAGUUUACGCGUCACGUUUUGGUAAUGAUACGGUUCACCUGGAACCUCAACUGAGGUGGUACUAAAAAAAGUACCAGGUACUGUACCCAGUGGAAAACCCCCAAAAGUGAACCAUACCAAGCCAUACUGUGCUCUACCAUACAGUGGAAAAGCACCAUUAGUCUCCAGCACCAUCAUUUUCCAGAACUGCGAGCUACCUGGAGUCUCCAAAAGUACAAGGUGUCAGGUUCUCAGAGACUUAGGUUAAGAAUUUAAUCCUAAAAAAUUACCCCUACUUAAUAAGAAUCACAUACUGAAGUGUAGUAAAGUACUUGAAGACUGAUAUAUAUAUAUAUAUAUAAAGGCUUUAUAGACAGAUAAGUUGAGAGUGACUCUUGAAGGACCAGCACCACAUCCUCUUGUACCACUGUUUGAAGAAUUUAUCUUCCAGAAUCUGGAAGUAAGUUUUGGGAGUUCAUUUUUAGUCCUAUCUCGAGUAUUUUAUCUGUAGAGAUACCUGCUUCAUGAACAAU